rnacentral:rRNA from 1 species
GACGAACGCUGGCGGCGUGCUUAACACAUGCAAGUCGAACGCUGAACCCGCUUCGGUGGGGGAUGGGUGGCAAACGGGUGAGUAACACGAGGGCAACCUGCCCCCGCCUCUGGGAUAACUCCAAGAAAUGGGGGCUAAUACCAGUUCUGACCGCUAGCUGCAUGGUCUGGGGGCGGUAAUGAUUUCCGGCUGUGGAUGGGCUCGCGGCCGAGCCGCUUGUGGGUUGGGUAGUUGCAUACCAAGGCGAUGACCGGUGGCCGGCCUGGGAGGGUGGCCGGGCACACUGGGCCUGAGACACGGACCAGAAUCCUACGGGAGGCAGCGGUGGGGAAUAUUGCGCAAUGGGCGGAAGCCUGACGCAGCGACGCCGCGUGGGGGAUGACGGCCUUCGGGUUGUAAACCUCUUUCAGCAGAGACGAAGCGCAAGUGACGGUACCUGCAGAAGAAGCACCGGCUAACUACGUG